UUAUCUUAGUGGCGGACGGGUGAGUAACGCGUGAGCAACCUGCCUUUCAGAGGGGGAUAACGUCUUGAAAAGGACGCUAAUACCGCAUGAUAUUAUGGAGCCACAGGGCUCUAUAAUCAAAGGAGCAAUCCGCUGAAAGAUGGGCUCGCGUCCGAUUAGGUAGUUGGCGGGAUAACAGCCCACCAAGCCGACGAUCGGUAGCCGGACUGAGAGGUUGAACGGCCACAUUGGGACUGAGACACGGCCCAGACUCCUACGGGAGGCAGCAGUGAGGGAUAUUGGUCAAUGGGGGAAACCCUGAACCAGCAACGCCGCGUGAGGGAUGACGGCCUUCGGGUUGUAAACCUCUGUCCUCUGUGAAGAUAAUGACGGUAGCAGAGGAGGAAGCUCCGGCUAACUACGUGCCAGCAGCCGCGGUAAUACGUAGGGAGCAAGCGUUGUCCGGAUUUACUGGGUGUAAAGGGUGCGUAGGCGGUUUGGUAAGUCAGAAGUGAAAUCCAUGGGCUUAACCCAUGAACUGCUUUUGAAACUAUCGAACUUGAGUGAAGUAGAGGUAGGCGGAAUUCCCGGUGCAGCGGUGAAAUGCGUAGAGAUCGGGAGGAACACCAGUGGCGAAGG
rnacentral:rRNA from 1 species